AAGUCGUAACAAGGUUUCCGUAGGUGAACCUGCGGAAGGAUCAUUACCAUAAUUAAAAUUCUAACCCAUGUGCACUAUGAAUAGUCCUGGUUUUUGGGGUGGGCUUUAAACGGUUCACCCUAACCAUUUUGUUAAACUACUGUUUCUAUUUUCAUGGCAUCAUAAAUUGUCUUAAUAAAUAAAUAUAUAUGACAACUUUUAACGGUGGAUCUCUUGGCUCGU
rnacentral:misc_RNA from 1 species